rnacentral:rRNA from 1 species
UACGAAGGGUGCUAGCGUUGUUCGGAAUCACUGGGCGUAAAGCGCGCGUAGGCGGCUUUUUAAGUCAGGGGUGAAAUGCCACGGCUCAACCGUGGAACUGCCUUUGAAACUGAGAAGCUAGAGUGUUGGAGGGGAUGGCGGAAUUGCUAAUGUAGAGGUGAAAUUCGUAGAUAUUAGCAGGAACACCGGUGGCGAAGGCGGCCAUCUGGACAACAACUGACGCUGAGGCGCGAAAGCGUGGGGAUCAAACAGG